GAUUACAAAAGACCUUAUCCUCUCUGUAAUCGCGGCUG
rnacentral:ncRNA from 1 species